UGAGGUUGUUUCUGAUGGAGGACUUAAUUUCAGGCUCCUCAUUGCCAGCCCAGAGAACUCAUCUGGUCAAAGUGUGUUCUUGGGAGCGGAAAUGGUCCCUUUUAGUGGGCAGCUGUGGAAGUGCAUAAGGAUGGACUACGUGGGCCACUUUAAUCUGAAUCUCAUUAAUAACCCCGGGAAAUCUGUACUGAACUUCUUCCACCAUCGUCCUUCCAGCUUCCCAGAAUGGGUGCAAAUGUCACUAGCAAUAUUCAUUUUAUGUCAUUCAAAAGUCUUACUUUAAAUAUUACUUCUGAAAUUUACUAUGAAAUAAUGUAUGGCUUGUGUUUAGAAAAUAUAACCUAUUAAAACCAACAUAACUUUGGAUAUACAA